GUAUCCAACCUGCCCUUUACUCGGGGAUAGCCUUUCGAAAGAAAGAUUAAUACCCGAUGGGAUAAUCAUUCCGCAUGGUUUGAUUAUUAAAGGAUUCCGGUAAAGGAUGGGGAUGCGUUCCAUUAGGUUGUUGGUGAGGUAACGGCCCACCAAGCCUUCGAUGGAUAGGGGUUCUGAGAGGAAGGUCCCCCACAUUGGAACUGAGACACGGUCCAAACUCCUACGGGAGGCAGCAGUGAGGAAUAUUGGUCAAUGGGCGCGAGCCUGAACCAGCCAAGUAGCGUGAAGGAUGACUGCCCUAUGGGUUGUAAACUUCUUUUAUAUUAGAAUAAAGUGCAGUAUGUAUACUGUUUUGUAUGUAUAAUAUGAAUAAGGAUCGGCUAACUCCGUGCCAGCAGCCGCGGUAAUACGGAGGAUCCGAGCGUUAUCCGGAUUUAUUGGGUUUAAAGGGAGCGUAGGUGGACUGGUAAGUCAGUUGUGAAAGUUUGCGGCUCAACCGUAAAAUUGCAGUUGAUACUGUCAGUCUUGAGUACAGUAGAGGUGGGCGGAAUUCGUGGUGUAGCGGUGAAAUGCUUAGAUAUCACGAAGAACUCCGAUUGCGAAGGCAGCUCACUGGACUGCAACUGACACUGAUGCUCGAAAGUGUGGGUAUCAAACAGGAUUAGAUACCCUGGUAGUCCACACAGUAAACGAUGAAUACUCGCUGUUUGCGAUAUACAGUAAGCGGCCAAGCGAAAGCAUUAAGUAUUCCACCUGGGGAGUACGCCGGCAACGGUGAAACUCAAAGGAAUUGACGGGGGGCCCGCACAAGCGGAGGAACAUGUGGGUUUAAUUCGAUGAUACGCGAGGAACCCUUACCUCGGGCUUAAAUUGCAGUGGAAAUGAUGUGGGAAACAUGUCAGUGAGCAAUCACCCACUGUGAAGGUGCUG
rnacentral:rRNA from 1 species